UACGGAGGGAGCUAGCGUUGUUCGGAAUUACUGGGCGUAAAGCGCACGUAGGCGGCGAUUCAAGUCAGAGGUGAAAGCCCGGGGCUCAACCCCGGAACUGCCUUUGAAACUAGAUUGCUAGAAUCUUGGAGAGGUCAGUGGAAUUCCGAGUGUAGAGGUGAAAUUCGUAGAUAUUCGGAAGAACACCAGUGGCGAAGGCGACUGACUGGACAAGUAUUGACGCUGAGGUGCGAAAGCGUGGGGAGCAAACAGG
rnacentral:rRNA from 1 species